AUUAGCGUGACCACCCACGU
rnacentral:misc_RNA from 1 species